AAAUAGAAACGACCUGAUGUUUUACUUUCAUUUCUCCAGCAGAAAAUUGUACUUGGACACUGACCGAGCGAGCUGUGGGGCAGUUCUCCAGCAGAGUUUGGCUUUAGCCGCAGCCCAGGAGGAGGGGAGAUCGGUCAACCCGAGCCCGGCCUGUCACCAGCUGCAUUAUGGGAAAUGCAAAUAAUAAAGGGCCAAUCCCACCCCGCUC